rnacentral:rRNA from 1 species
AUUGAACGCUGGCGGCAGGCCUAACACAUGCAAGUCGAGCGAGCGGCGGACGGGUGAGUAAUGUAUGGGGACUGCCCGAUAGAGGGGGAUAACUACUGGAAACGGUAGCUAAUACCGCAUACUAUCGGAUAACCCAUAUGGGAUUAGCUAGUAGGUGAGGUAAUGGCUCACCUAGGCGAAGAUCCCUAGCUGGUCUGAGAGGAUGAUCAGCGACACGGGAACGGAGAAAGGGCCCAGACUCCUACGGAGGCAGCAGGGGGGAAUAUUGCACAAUGGGCGCAAGCCUGAUGCAGCCAUGCCGCGUGUAUGAAGAAGGCCCUAGGGUUGUAAAGUACUUUCAGUCGGGAGGCGUUACCGGCAGAAGAAGCACCGGCUAACUCCGUGCCAGCAGCCGCGGUAAUUC